AGUUUCACUGAGGGCCUGUGGAUCAUCUGGGAGCUGUCUACCACCAAUAGUCAAAAGAAAAAAUUAGGAUGGAUAUAGAAUACCAGCAUCAGCAAGUGUACACGAUUUAAAGCACAUUUGGUAUCUAUUACCAAGCUGCCCUUCAGAGAGGUUGUCUCGUUACACAUUCCACAGCUGUGACUGAGAAACCGUCUUGUCGCAUUUGACAAUCCAGGUUACUAUCUAAAAACUUGAGUUUGUAAGAGCAACACGCCAUGAGAUAAUAUUCGUGCAAAUGUAACUGACAAAAGACUAACAUCCCAUAAUACUAGAGCACCUACAAACCAAGAAGAUAAACAUCCCAUUGGGAAAGUGUAAAAAUAUGAACAUAAAGUUUACAGAAGAAAAAACACAAAUGGCUCAUAAACACACAAAAAGAUGAUAUUGCUUCCUGGUAAUUGGGGAAAUGCAAACAAAAACUACAAUGAAAUAUCGUGGUAUCGUGUAUCAAAUUUGCAGAGCAUAAAAUAGAUUACAUUCGCAACCAGCAACUACAACCCAACCUUCAGCCUCACUGGACUUCUUGCCAUUCCCCAAACCAUAUCCACGCCCCUCUCCACAGGCUGUUCCUUCUGCCUGCAUGCCCUCGAUGGCACCAAGGGGGAUGGGCACACUAACACAACUGCUGGGAAUGGGAAAGUUUCAACCUCUUGGGAAUAAAAUCUAACAGUA
ensembl:lncRNA LINC02995 long intergenic non-protein coding RNA 2995